GCUACAACCAGAGAAGUGCCAUUUUCAAUUUUUUAUUGUCUAAUAGUAACUCUGUUUUUUAUGGAGGAAACAUCACAUACAAUGUUAAAGCUAGUUUCUGUAAAGUAAUCUAAGGAUCGCAAGAUCAUAACACAACUGAAUCCGCAAGGCUGAAAGUUCCAGGUUUACAUCAAUAUUAUUGCAGAAGACCAACUGCCCUAUAAGCUGUUAUUCAUAAUAUGGAUCCAAAGAUGGGUUAGUUUGAAGCCUUCCAUAAUUCAUAAUAUCAUCACUCACCCGAAAACACCAAAAAUUUACUCAACUCGUGUGAACUUCUAGGCAUGGCUAGUAAAAAGAGCUCAAAUCACAAUUUUUAUGUCAUAUGUCUGUUUAUAUAACAUACAUAAAGAUGAAGAACUUAGAAGCCUUUGGGGAGUGGUAGCAGAACGCCAGAACAUGAACUUAAAAUGUUACAAGUGUUUGGUAAAAAAAAAAAAACUCAAAAUCUCUAACGGUAAAUAUUACUCCUUCCCACUCAUUUUGUCUAACUUAGAAAUACACCGUAUAUUCACUAACAUUAAAUUAGCCGAUAAUUAUUAAAAAAAUUAUAUUGCUUUUCAUAUAUAUUAACUUAGUUUAUAUUGAAUUUGCCAUAUUUACUAAACAUGAUAAUUUUGGAUCACGUACAGUAGAAAAUGAGGGAUUCAAACAAACAAUAAAAAAAAAAAAUCAGUUAGAGCAUCUCCAACCCUCACAAGCCCUUAGGUAAAAGUCCACGUGGCUUUUCAAAAUUAAAUUUUAUAGCCAAUGUUCACAAAAACUGGAACUCCAGCCCCAGCAACCCCUUGUGUAUAAUUAUAGUCAUCCCACUAUGGAUGGCUAUAUUUGUCGAUCCGCUACCAAUCGGUAGCGAAUUCCACGUCAUCUCCAGCAAUUUAUUUUUCUACUUUCCACUGAUUACAUAUUAUUUAUUACCAUAUUAAACUGAAAUAUUCUAUUUAUUAUAAUCUAAAUAUUAAUAACAUGCUAUUUUUAAAUUAUAACCAACCAAUAUAGUCAAUACCAUUGAAGCACAAUGUCUUACCGGUUCGGCAAAUUUUACAUAAUGUCUUAAAGAUCCAAUUUAGCCAACGAUUGUAACCAACGUCAUUAGAGAUACUCUUAACAUUAGUAAUUAUUUAUUUAUUUACAUUAGUGUAAAUAUCAAAUACAUACAAUCAAACAUUCAUUCAAUAAAAAAUAAAGUUAUCAUUUUGAAUAAUAAAUUUAAAUAAAAUACAGAAAUGUCUAAAAUUUCAAUAUUAAAUUAUGUGAUUGUUAACUAAAAAAAAAAUAAUAGAAUCUAGAUUAAUGAAAUAUCUGUCCAGAUAGUCUAAGUGGAGAAACGGAUUUAUUGUAGAAAGGAAACAUUACUCAUCAUAAAAUAGAAUUAAAAUUCUUCAAAUUAAACAAAAACAAAAUACAUUCAAAUUGAACAGAAACAAAUUACAAAUUUUAUGAUAAUAUGAUGUGAUGCACGAGUGCCGAGAAUCUUCCAGGUUGUUUCCAAGACUUCUAGUUGGUUUGGAUCAAGAUACGUUCUAGUUGGACGGGAAUGUUCUUCAGCUCUUCACACUUCUUUAUUCUGAAACUUUUGAGGCAUGGGAGUGCUCCAUCCUCGACUUGCAAUUCUUUCAGAUUAGUGAAUUUUUGUAGUCUUAAGACUUGAAGACUUGGAAACGAAUUUUUACUGCAAACCAUUAUAUCCCCUCCGUACACUUGAUGCAAAUCAAGAGUCGUAAGAUUCCGUAAAUUUCCCAGGCUGGGCAUUGGAUCUUCAGUGAACCCACUCUCAGAUAGAGCUAAAUCCUCGACUGAAUCCGGAAGAAAACAGAAUUCUGAUAGUUCUAUAACACCUUUUAAAGUUAUGCUCUUGAGACGAUUCAAAACCAAAAACGGUUUCAAUGUUGAAAUAACGACAUCAUUAUACCUUUUAAAUAUGAACGUUUGGAGAUUUGUUAAAUUAGCAAUGGAUUCAAAAGUGCCACCUCCUCCUCCCACUCUAUCUCUUAUAUAUAAUGUACGGAGGUUAGUUAAAUUGACGGUAUCAAUCUUGACCCAUUCCUCGAAAAUUAUACCAUAAAAAGAAUGGAGUUUUGUUUGAUGGCUACCUAUAUUCAACCUCCCGCUAAUUUUAAUCAAUAUAAGAUACAGGUGCCUCAGCUCAGGCAGCUCCCAUAUCUCUCUGGGAACUGUGUGGGAACAACCAAGGGGCCCACCCCAUAAACUUUGUACUCCCUCUGUCCCAGUCAAUUGUAUACGUUUCUUUUUCACUGCUCGACACGCUUUUUAAGGCUCUUAUAAAACAUAAUUCCACAACUUAUUUUUAAGAUUUUCUUUUUUUGUAUAAAAAUAUAAAUGUUAUACUUUUAUACAAAAAAAGAAAAUCUUAAAAAUAAUUUACAGAACUAUACUAUAUUGAUGCUUUAAAGUCCGUGCCGCGCCCCCGUCCCCCAAUGUAUACUAUUGACUGGGACGGAGGGAGUAACUUUUUCAGCUUGCCUAUAGUUGCCGGCACUGCUACUGUUUUCCUGACGCUACCCAUUAAGCCUAAAAACUUUAAAAGAACCAGUUCCCCUAAUCCUUCUGGUACCCUCUCUGAUUCUACCCUCGACAUAUCAAGCACCGUAAGAUUUUUAAAUCUGGUGUAUAUCAACUUCAUUUCUUUUAAUUCCACUUUAACUUUAUAACCUUCCACCACUAAGGAAUGCAAAUAUAAAGCAUCAAAUCUACGUUGCUCAAGUAAUUUCAAGUACUCACCAAUUUCAUCGUAGAUAGCAUGACGCCGUUGUCCUUCCAAUAAAUGGGUGAGAUUUGGUUGGUGUUUACUUGAAUCUGAAAUAACCAAAUUCUUCUGCUCCUUUGCUUUUCUUAUGGCAAGUUCACGGACAAGAUCAUGGACCUGGCAUGCCAAAACUUUCCCAUUCAAUUGCGAAUAAUUAAUCUGAAUUAAGUUGCGAUUAAUCAGCUCGUUCAGACAAUCCUCGGCCAAAUCCUCCAUGAGUACUCCAUCUCCUUCUUCAUCUUCUGAUAUGAAUUCCUCUGCAAUCCAUAAAUGCUUCAAACGUUCGACAUCAAUAAUUUCGUCUUCUGGGAAUCGUGCAAGGUACAGAAAACAAUCUCUCAUUUGGUGAGACAAGUCUUUAUAACUCAAGCUGAGUAUUUCUACAAUAUCCACCGAGUCAUCCCUCAAGUUUCUCCAGAUAUGCUCCUUCACCUUUAACCAAUAGUCUUUGCUCUUGUUGUGCAAUAAAAGGCCGCCCAGUAUCACAAUUGCAAGUGGUAAACCUCCACAUUUACCAACCAUCUCCCUUCCCAACUUCUCCAGAUUGUGGGUUGGUUCUGCUGUCUUGCAGAAUAAUUCCCAGCUUUCCUCUUCCCUCAACAAACGAAGUUGAUAGGCUAAACAAUUCUUAUCCACAGUCUCUGCGACUUUCUUGUUUCUGGUAGUUAUCAUGAUCCUACUACCGUUGUCCUGGUUUGGAAAUGCGAUCUUGAUCUGGUUCCAAGCUUUUAUAUCCCAUAUAUCAUCAAUAAGUACCAAAUAGCAACCUUGAUUCUCGAGUAACUGUUGUAGGUAUUGCCGCAAGUCAUGCUCAUCCAUGUUUGACAUAUAUUCUUCGUGCUGAGGUCCCUUGAAAGACUUUAUUAUCCUCUUAAGGACAUCUUUGAUGGUAUAUUCGUUGGAGACGCAAACUUUAGCACGGGUGCCAAAAUGUCUCAACUCGUUAGAGUUGUACAACUUGAGGGCAAGUGAAGUCUUGCCUAAUCCCCCCAUUCCGUGAAUAGAAAUGAUUUUAAGGGGAGGAUCCUUGCUAUUAAGUUCUUUCAUCAAAUUCUGAAUAUCGUCCUUGAAACCAACCACAUCCACAUGGGUAUCAAUGGCGCUUGCUCUUAUGAAGGUUCUCUCUUUCUGUUUCAGGUCUGGACCGGCUAAAAUAGUGUUGAUCCCAUACUCAAGGCGCCUCUCCUUGAUCACACCGAUCCUUUUCUUGAGUGACUCGAUAUCAUUGCCAAUGUCGUAAAGCUGAGCUUCUUUCUUGCAGAUGCAGAUACAGUUGAGAAAUCUGUCCAUAUGACCUUGUUCCAGACUGGCUUGUCCAUCCUGAAACGUCUUCAGGAUAUCCACAGCUUCAUUGGCAACGUCUCUGACAUUGUUUAGCCAUAGACGGAUGAGUUUCUCUUCUUGCCUUGAUUCUGCAAGUUCUACGGUAGCCUGGAGGAGGCCCAAUUCUUCUUUGAGCCAUCUUAUAUCAUCUCUAACUCCUAUUCGUAUGUUAACCUGGUGCACAAGAAAAUCACCAAGCUUUUCAAUUGCAAAAGAUAUUACAGCAUCAGCCAUACUUUUCUACCAAGUCAAAAAGAAAGGAAAGCUGGGAAAUAUUUGCAAAAGACUUUGGUAGGAGAUCACUGAGGGAGAAAGAGUACUUCAAAGUGAAACUUAUCAUUAAAAUUCAUUAAUUGCUACAAUUGCUGCUGAUUUGCUGGACCUCAUACCCUGCGAAUUAAUCUGGGUUGCAUCAUGCAUUAUUGUUAGUUUAGACUUUUACUUAUCAAAUAAUAGAAUUAAAUAUAAAUCUAUAAUUAUAUUUUCUUUCGCAUGGAGUCAUCAGGGAGUUUUUUAAGAUUCCCAUGGAGAUGAAAGUGACUGAUAAGCGAACAAAUAGAGAAAAAUACAGACGACCUUGCGCAUUAUUCUUGCUAGACCUACCGGAGGAAUAACGUGGCCCAACUCGUCAUCCUAUUAUUAUACUUACCUUGACCCUUAUACGGCUGUAGAGAAAAGGCUCUGUAUAUCACAAAACCUACACGUAAUGUCCAAAAUAGCAGAGCUCGGAGAAAUGAUUCAAAAUACUAUUUAUUAAUGUCAGAUAAUCUAUCAUUUCGAUUUUUGAAAUAAAAUACUAGAUCAUGUUGUAUUUAGGUAUGAAUGUCAUAUUUGAGGUGCAACCGUUGAAAGCAUUUGGCAAGAACUUAAUCAAGCUCAAACUAUCUGACUAAUGUCAAUAUACUUUAGACAAUUUAUCAGCAUGGAUUGAAAUAAAGACGAGAACUAUACCAGUAAUCAUUACCACUAAUCAUUAUCACGAAGCUUACAAUUAUGAUUGAACCUCGAGGAGGAGGAUCAUCGUAUAGUUUGGCCGCAAAAGUCUGGGGAGUCUGAUCACCGUUGUGCAACGACGCUUGGAACGUCAGAUAGUACAAAAACUCAUGAGAAAACGAUCUCAUUUCCUUUGAUGACAACAUUGGUAUACUUCUUGUUUCCCUGCACGAGGAACGCUUAAUGAAAAAUACAAGAAAUAAACAAGGACAGUGGAAAAAUGGAAAAUGUUUCAUACACAAAAUCAGAUACAAAAUUUUUCAUAAAAUAAUACGUGUUAAGUUUUGAUCGGAAUGAGCUCCUUGUAUAUGUGUUAAUAGCAACAACUAAAACAUCUAAUCUCUAACUGUUAUGUUUUGUAUCCAAUUUUGUGUGUGUACUCUGUAGCACUACUUCGGAAAAAUUGACGUAUUGACAAACCUCUGUGUUACGAUAAAGCUGAGUGGCCUCAUUUUGUAGAGUAAUGAUGCCACAAACCUUACGAGACAUGGACGAAUAGUCUCCAACCUGAGAACCAUGACACGAGAAAAUUAAGAUAAUGAGAUUAACGCGAACAAAAACAGUUAGAAGGUUCCGGACAAAACAAAUAAACCAAAAUUGCAUAUUACAAUAAAAUUCAAUACGACAAGUAAAGAUGCAAUAUUUACGAGGUGUAUUCGAUUGGGAUUUUAAGGAUUGUUUGUGGUAUAUGGAAUUUUAAUGGAUUGUAUGUGAUUUUGAUUUUGUGCGGAUUCUUGAUCAAAUGUCGCAGAGUUGAUAAGAUUUAAGUACAAUACUUCAAAAUCCCAUUGAUUUUGGUGGGAUUCAAAAAACUUAAAAUACACCGAAGAAUGCUGGCAAAAAAAAUAUAUAUAUACCGAAGAAUGCCACAAAAUCCAUCAUUUUAUGAAAUCCAAAAAAAUCAAUCAGCAUUUGAAUACCAUCAAAUUUUAAUGGAUUUUAAACAAUCCAAUUGAAUACCAUCGGAUUUUAAAACAUAAUUUAAAAUCCCAAUUGAAUAACACCGGAUUUUGUAGCAUAAUUUAAAAUACCAAUUGAAUACUUCAAAAUUUUAAUGGAUUUCAAACAAUCCCAAUCAAAUACCCUCAGAUUUCGUUAAUAUAAAAAAAUAUUUAAAAUCUCAAUCCAAUAAACCUUUCUCUUCGGCAUCGUCUUUUUAUUAUUUGCAAUUGCUUUCCAAGGACCUCUUUGUACAGUUAAACCUCUUUAAAGUAAUACCCCUCGGACCGGGGAAAAAUAUUACUUUACCGAAUUUAUUAUUUUAUCGAUAUAAUAAUAUUUUAUUACUUUAUCGAUAAAGUAAUAUUUUAUUAUUUUACCGAAUUUUUAUAUGUUUACAAAUUACAAUUCAUUAUUUUUAAAAAUAAGAAUCAGUCACAUACAAUAAUUAAUCAUAUGUGAAAACUAAAUUCAUGCAUGCACUGAAUAGAGUAUACAUGUACUGUAACAUGUGCAGUGUACGUAUUGUACAUCAUCCCAAGCGUGUCAUCAAAGGAAGCACUUCAAGCAAUCAACACUUUAAACAAUUAGUUCUUACAACAUGAGCAAAACAUACCGGGAGUUAUUUAUGCUUGACAUAAAGUCAAGGAUGUGGUUAAUUUUGGCCUUGGUGGAAGGAAGAAACAAGCUACUGUAGGAUUCAUAUUUUAAAAAGAACCGAAAUUUGUAAUUCAUAUACAUUAUAUAUAUAUAUAUAUAUAUAUUGAAAGAAGAAACAAGCUACUACAGAUUUUAAAAAGAACUGAAAUUUGUAAUUCAUAUACAUUAUAUAUAUACAUAUAAUUCAUGAAUUAUUACUUUACAUAUUACCCGGGCCUUUAAUGAAUUUCUAAAUUUUUAUUAUCUUAUGCUUUUAGCGAAAAUAUUACUUUACAACAUUGGCCCAAGUUGGGACCGACAAAAUUUAUUACUUAAGCGAGGUUAUUACUUUAUCGGAUAUUACUUAAUCGAGAUUUAACUGUAUUCGUCUUAUCAAGCAGGUAAAUGGGUGUAAACAUUUGACGUAAUUAGAAAAUAUAUCAUGUACAAAGACUUUUAUAAUCAAAUAAGCGCAUUCCUAUUUUCAGUAGAAUAUCAUCUCUGCCCAUUCAUUUGAAAGCGGCGAUUACCAAUGGUUCUUGUUUAAACCAGUUCAAAGAAAUUUGCAGCUUGUUUGGUGAUGCGGCGAAGAUGUUCGAUAAAAUGCCUGCAUGAAGACUGUUUUCAGUUGGUGAGUUUACUUGACAAUAUUUGUUUUCUUGGAUCGCUACUUAAGAAUUUUUAUGCUUGUAACCAUUGGGUAUUUUGAAGUGCUUGCCAUGUAUUCGUUUUAUUGUGUUUUUUAUGUGUUUGAUCUAAUGCUGGUUAAGACUAGUGGUAUAUGGAAAUCGAUCUUGGAAGCUAGAAAUUGCACCGAGUUUGGGCUACCUUAAGAAUACUCUUUUAAGUAAUUGAUUUAGGAAUUCGGGUUAGGAAGGCUCGAGUUAUGGAACCUAAUGUUUUGAGAUCAUCGAGAAUGAAGCUUAACUUGUAGUUAGACAAGUUGUCGUGAUUCUUGAUCUCUGAUAUCUCUUCCAAUCUAUUUACUCAAAUCUGCUCCAUUUCUAAUCUUUCCUUCUCGCUUCUUCUACCUUUACGACUAAUCAUCUUCUUUAUUUGGUCUACAACUACUAUCACUUUUUCACUGGCAUCUAAACAUCAAGCCAUUAUAUUCAAGAUAAAAGUUCCCACUCUUUAAUUUGAGGGUAGUUUGAGGAGUGUUAAGCGAUAAGAUAAAAGGGUACUAUGGUCUUUCUAUCCGGAACAUUUGUUUUUACUAGAAUUUAGUAUUGUUUGUAACCUUCUAUACAUAUAAGAAGACAAGUAAAAAGAGAUGUAGUCAAUCAAUUCCUCUUCUUUCUUGUUGUAUUGCUCUUUAAGUUUACAAUUAUGGUUCUUACCAUCACUAAUUUAUAAAAUCAUCAAAAGAUUAUAUUGUUCCUUGAACAGAACUAAUCCAAGCUCCAAUAAAAAUAGCAGCUUGAAAUUCUAUUUAUUCACCACAUAGAGUUAUACAAUGGUCAUUUAUAAUGAAACAAUUCAUUUAUCUAACAACCCUGAUCCUUUGUAUUGAAGCUAAACAAUCUUUCAAACUCAAAACCAAGUAUUAGAGAAAACCUUCUAUAGUGGACAGACAUCUACUACACAUUAUAAGAUUAUAAUAAAUUUAUCUUGAGUCAUCUUAGUAACAGGCUUCGACACUUUACAACACUCUGCAAAAUGUCACAAACCAUGUUUCCUUGGGCCUUUAACAUGGCAGCCAAAAAGAAUUUAUCCCUAAAGGCUUAAUGUAAGGUUCAGAAUAUUAAUCCUUUUAGGCAGUCUACUUCCCUAAGGAUUUAAAUUCAAAUCUUAACAUUUGUGCAGUCAAUUUUAGGCAGAAGCAAAUCUACACAACAUUUAAGACAUCUGCAAAAAUAUUACCAGGCAUCUGCAGAAUUAAUGGCAUUACCUUCCGUGAUCUUGCAAUAUUACAUAACUAGCACAAGCGAACUUUAGCUGGAAGUCUACAACCAGAGAAGUGGCAUUUUCAUUUUUUUAUCGUCUAAUAGUGGCUCCGUGUAAUUUGGAAUUUGGAGGAAACAUCACAUACAAUGUUAAAACUAGUUUGAGUAAAGUAAUCUAAGGAUCGCACCAAAAUUUUAAUGCAACUGAAUCUGCAAGGCUGAAGGUUCCAAGUUUACAUCAGUAUUAUUGCAGAAGACUAACCGAUUGACUGAUUGUAAGCUGUUAUCUAAUAUGAAUCCCAUGAUAGUUAGUUUGAAGCCUACGAGCCCAA
rnacentral:lncRNA from 1 species